GGGAUACGGAAUAACACGGUAGUCGGAUUUAAAUUUGAAUUCGGGAGUCACAGCUAAUGGCACGUCAAGCUACGGCCGGCGUGGGUAGAUGGCACUGCCGACGGCUCUCGUCUCGCUUCCGCCAUGACGGACGAACAGGAAUGACAGUUGACAAGCCUCUAUCCCAUAAUCCGUCCAGUGUAUUUGGGUCUCUUGGGAAUAUCAUAGGCGCCGAUAUGAUGGACGCCCCAGCGUAAAUUUGAGUGCCACUGUAAUGGAGGGUCGCGGAUCGCGAAGUGAGCGCGAGGUCCAUCGAUAGUAUAUAUAUACGUAUUAUGUACUAUACGUAUAGAGAGGUAAAGGAGCGAUGCGGAUGGCAGGAGUGAAAGGCCCACGCCCGUGCCUCAGGCUUCCCGGCAAGGGCGACUGGCCCCUCCGUACUCAAACAGGCCCAGACAGUUACAUUCACAGUCAAGAAUUGCUUCGAUAUACAGACAAAUUUCUAGUGCACCAAGACACCGACGCCAAACACUCUCGACGCCUCUACCUAUAUACUCUUCAACUACCUACCACACGUUUCCUUCAGGAACGCACCACUCUCUGUGAAACGCAGUAGAUACUGAAAGUGGCAUACUCUCAGAAUGGAGAGUCUCUUUGGUCUCCUGGUGAUGACAAAUAACGAUAAGAGAAAGACCAUCCUGAAGAUGGUACCCUAGGAAUUUUUAUUGCGGAUCAAUGUGAUCGAUAUCAUCCUCUACAGAAGUUAUACUUGAUCCAAUUGUGCUGACGUCGAUGAUCUCUGGGAAGGCCACUUCUUGGGAAUGAUCCCGAUAGCGAUCCUUUGGACGUAGACGCAAUGCGUACCUUCCAUCGAAGUCUCCUUGAUGGCUGGAGGCGUCGCGAGUCAGACUCCAGUUGAGCCGAGGUGCUACAGAUCACGGAUGAGUGGGUGGAGCCACCACUCCAUUGCUCAACGAGAUGUCCUCGAGUUAUCGCGAUAAGAAAGGCCAUCCUAAGGACACACCUCAACUCCGGAUAUCUAGCUCCGCGUUCCCGAUAAGCAUCGACAUCUACGCUUACUUCAGUGCAUCUCCUAAUCCUCGCUACCAAAUCUUUGGUCUACGUAGCAGAGCAGCCAUUGUGCAUUGUCGCUUGCUAAUUUUUGGUCAAUUGUACAAGACUUCCCGGAACUGAAUGGCGUCGAGAUGGAUUAACUAGAUUGAAGAAUAGUCGGCCUUUAUGUUGUUAUGCUGCAUUGAGAUGGUAUGUCCAAUUGGUAUGGAAGUAAUUGGUUUAUAUAGAAAGGUCCGACCUCCGUAUCGGCCCGGAUUGUCAUCGAAACACAGUACCAUCCAUGUAUAAUGUAAAACAUGACUUUGGACUCGGAUCCAGAUUCAUGUGGCAAGGACAUUAUUUUUAUAGAGUGAAUGAGGAGAGAAAAAAGAGAAUACAUCAUACCUAGUAAGGUCUACCUGAGGUAGUUGGGACCUCGAGGGAGACACUGUCGGAGGUCUCAAAACGCAUUACAGAGCUUCAGCCCCGUAAGAGCGCUGGGAAAGAUAGGACGACCGAAGGAAGUGGGAAGGAAGAGAGGAAGGGCUGGCAAUUACGUAAAAUUGGAGCAACGUCCUGUAUUCCUUAACGGGAAAUACGAUUCUCUCGGUAAGGUCUCUGGUCUCGAAGUCUCAGGGCACCCUACCUGUCAACAGGAUAAAGAAAUAAAAAAAACAAAGAGGAAAGACAACAGCAACCCAAGCAAGUUGCUAUGGAAAUUCAAGACAGGUAUAGAUCUAUGUGUACCCACACAAUGAUCCUGACCACGUGAAAUCACCGAGGAAAAAAAAUGAAGGAGAACUCAAUCGUCUAAAGGAACGUCAUCGGGAUUGAUCAAUGAUCAGGACCAGAUUGAGUGUUUCUCAAGAUAAUUUUGCAAUGUCCAGCAACUUUUCUUUGUUUCCAUUUGCGCCCCUUUCCCCGCCUCCUUCUCGGCAGUAACCACUGUACACAGAAUGAGACGGGUGGGUAGGUAGGUUGAUAUCGAGACAGAUGACUACUUCUUUAAACUGGAAGAUCCCAAAGAACCAUCAAUUGAAUCUAAACGAAAAUUAGAUUAGAAUUGUCUUGGCAAGAAAGGCAAGAAGGCAACAAGAAAUAGGGAAAUCGUUGGAGCGCGCCCGAUUAUAUCGGGAUUAGCGGGGCACGUUCCUUCCUCUGGGUCCUUGAUUCAAAUCGAAUAGCCAAUUGUGAUAGAGCCACCGGCUACACAAAUCGCGAAACCACGUUGCGAAUCGAAGAUCAAUUGCCGAUUGCGCAACCAUGGAAACGACGAUCCGGUCCAUUCGCGGCUACCUUCUAUGUACGGUCUUAGUAUAAUUACCAGAUGGAUCGGAUAAUCAUCUUGUUAUGUCACCCAAGUAAAUUAGCCAUUCGAAUCGGUAAGAUGGCGUUUUAUAAAUGCUCUCCUCGUUAAGCGGAAAAAGAUCGUAAUUAAGUAUAACAAUGGAUAGUACAAAAAGAUGUUAUUUUUUAACAUAACCUCCUGUAAAGCCUUUCAAUCCGUCCUUAAUCUACAUAAAUUACCAAGUCCCAGCAUUGCCAACUGUUAGUCAGUAUUUGCCGAACGGUCUUGCACUAACACGAUCCUGGGAUAAAAAAGAUCGGUAAGGUAUUCGCGCGAGAAAAAAGCAAACAAUGUCACACGGUUUCCUUUUUCCUUACACGGCGCUACCGUCCAAUUAGCGUGAUCGAUCGUACGUGGGUUUCGGGCGGGUUUCCAUUGGCUCUUCCCGUUAGCGAGUUCGAAUCGACGACCAAGGGAGCCAAGGAAGGGAAGUAAAAGUUGGACGUCGAAGUUGGUAGAUAAGUAUAUAGGUUAGCUG